CUACGGGCGGCACCAGUGGGGAAUAUUGGACAAUGGGGGGAACCCUGAUCCAGCAAUGCCGCGUGUGUGAAGAAGGCCUGCGGGUUGUAAAGCACUUUCGGUUGGGAGGACUGCUUCUAGCACUAAUAUUGUUGGAAGUUGACGUUACCUUCAGAAGAAGCACCGGCUAACUCCGUGCCAGCAGCCGCGGUAAUACGGAGGGUGCAAGCGUUAAUCGGAAUUACUGGGCGUAAAGCGCGCGUAGGCGGCUAGAUCAGUCGGGUGUGAAAGCCCCGGGCUUGACCUGGGAACUGCAUCCGAUACUGUCUAGCUUGAGUACAGGAGAGGAGAGUGGAAUUCCACAUGUAGCGGUGAAAUGCGUAGAUAUGUGGAGGAACACCAAUGGCGAAGGCAGCUCUCUGGCCUGAUACUGACGCUGAGGUGCGAAAGCGUGGGGGGCAAACAGGAUUAGAUACCCUCGUAGUC
rnacentral:rRNA from 1 species